UAAAAUUUACUUAAAAUAAUCAUUACAAUGUAAAAAAAAAGGAAGGAGACCUCAUGGCCUUCCUUUGAACAAUGCACACCUGUCCUCCCAACUGCCGCCCCUAUAGAAAUCCCCUACGAGAUAAGCAUCUGUACACCUUUCCAUAAAAAUUUCGGAAUGCCAGACAUUUUUAUGCAGAACAAUUUUGGCCUCUCCUCAGAGGCAGGUGUGACCAGAGCCAACCUGUCUGGAGUGGCUUUUUACGUGGGAGUCCUCAGCAGUGUCAACAAGCAUAACGAUGUUAUGUUACUGGGCUCCGCCCCUGGGAACCAGCGCACACCUUUACGGAGGGACCGAGUUUACCUUCCUUGUCCCUUCAUAGCUUGGAUUAAAAAUUGCCCAGAGUUCAAAUAUUUAAUGUUCUUCCUUAUUUCCCAUUCCUGGAAUGUCUCAUUGUGGCACGGCUUGUGGCCAAUGUGUGGUGUUCCUCCCUCGCCAGGUACUGGGCAAGGUCUCACUUUGGGGCUACCUCAGCCCGAACAUGCACCCAUGACCUUUGCACCUUUGGGGCGGCUUCCUAGGUUGUUCUGUAUUGCGUUAUUUUCCUUUCUGGGUCGCAGCAAGUGAUUUAGUUUUUAUCUUAUGAUCAAUUUUCUACAAAUUUCACAGCACGUGGUCUGAUUUGUUCUGUGACCGUGGGGCGUUGGCGGCUCAGAGGCAGCGGGCCAGGGGCAAAGGAAGAAUCGUCCUACAGAAUGUCCUGCGCUGUAGGUGCCAACUUGUGGCCUUUCAAAAAUGAAGCUCAGACAGCAGGACCAAGAGAGCCAGCCUCAGUGAGUGGGAGUGACCUGCACAGCCACCUCUCCCUCCAGAGUCAGGAGCCCUUUCAACUUCGGGCUCCGAGGCCAAGCGUGCUCACUUCAGGUCCUUUCCUGUAAGGUAAUCUUGGGGACACUGGGGCUUCCCCAUGGCCUGGGUCAAUUUUGUUGAAUGGACUCUGGACUCUUUUAAAAGGACCUGAUCCUUUUGAAUUUUGCACAGCCCUAAACAUAAUCCCUUUGAUAAAAGGGUCUUUGCUCCUGAUUAUCAGAACACUAUGGAACGUCUGUAAAUAUCCUAUAUAAUAAAAGGCUAAUAUGCAAAUAGACCAAAAGGUGGAACAACUGAACAACCAGUCGAUAUGCUGUGCGCUGACCACCAGGGGCCAUGUGUGGAAGAUGGCGGGCAUCAGCUGCGGCGGGAUGGUGGAGCAGGCCAGUCUGGUGCUCAGACCCUUUAGCCUCAUUUUAAGUUGCCAACACAAGAACAAAGCGUGUGACUUGUCAAUGUGCAGCAAGACAUCAUUAAAGACUGAUGUUAACCUCGGAGUCCAGCCUAGCCUUGGAGCCUCGGAGCCGAGCCUCAGAGCCUUGGAGAGCCAAGCUGAGCCACGAAGAGCUGAGCUAGUCCCGAAAAAACACAACCAGAAAAAGGUUAGGAGGGAAAAACAAAGGGGUUUAACUGAUUUGGGUUGGCAUUUUUCUGAUGACAAACAUUCAAAGGACCCUUCUACAGAAACACCUUGUUUGUUGGUGUGCAUUUGGGGGAGGAGGAAGUUCUUGAGGGACUUUUCAUACCAGAAGGACUUUCGGCUUAAAGUUUUUCAUCCCCGUGGGCCUCCAGUUUAGCCCCUUGGCCAGGCAUAACCCAUCAUUCCCUGCAUGGUCCUGCCCUGACCCGGGCUCCAGAUGCUUCAGCAAAUGGAAAUGCGGAUCAUUUCUGUGGCUCUGUAAACACCCGGCUUACCCAGAAGCACAUCCAGCCAGCCAGUCCCCCAAAGCCAAGCCAACUCUGGGCUCCGUACUUAAUGUCCUUGUUCCUUGUCACCCCAAACAAGGUGGACUAAGUGGCCCAGCCAAUCUGCUCUUUUCUACUUUUCUUUUCCUUGUUUUUUUAUUCUCUGUUCUAUAAAAGCUUCCUGCCUUCUGCCCCACAUGGAGACUGUCCAUGUCAUGAAAUGUUAAUGUUUGUUUGUAUCAUCAAAAUUGUCUUUUGUAAUCAUGGUGUAACAUGUACUGGCAUGAACUGAAGUUUCCUAAGACAGAGAGGGGGCAUGUCACAUGACUAAGGGGAGCAGGAUAUGCCAUCCCCAAAUAUGCUGUUUGUCAUUCGCCUGUUAAUCUGUCUUUUAUUGCAGGGGUCUCAACUAAGAAUGCAGAAGAGAAGAGGGAAAUUAGUUUUUCCUUCCUUACAAUUUCCUACAUUUAUUUAAUCAGACGUUUUCUCACCUCCUCCCCUUUUUCGGUUUGGGAAGCUUGCCAAGGGGUGCUUUGGGAAAUGCUAACCUAGGGACAUAUAUAUUACUAAGUAAAAUUUAAGCCCACUGCCGAUGCCUAUUCUGGCUCUUUGGCUCAGAGAAGAUAUGUUCUUGGCAAUGCAACCUGGAAAUCAGAAUGCAUUUUCCAUAAAAACAAUGCAGCUAGAUGUAAUUGAAAUAGUACGAUUAGAGCUAUAAUUUGGAUGUAUGUGGGCCAAUUGAGCUUUUGUGGACUAGUCUGGAAAUCAAACACCAGGGACAGAGACGUCACGAGGGGAGAAUCCACGGGGGGUUGCAAGAAGAUUAGAAACAUACAUGUGAACUUCGACAUGCUUACUCGGGGAGCUGACUUUGAAUUCUCAAAGCAAAGCUUUUUAUUAAGCUUAAAUUGUGCACCCACUUUUUGAAUGACUGAACCUAACGCGAACUGUUCCUACUUGUUGCCAGCUCAUUGCCUUAAAAUUCUGAGUCGUUCUUUCAUGUUAAAUUUUUCUUAAGAAUUACAAAAAAAAUCUUGAGUAAAUGUCUUACAAUUAUAAUCAGCUUUACUUGUUGCUAUGGAGUUUUGCUUGGUUAUAAAUUCUUCAUCUACUGCUCCUAUUUCAGAAAAAAACAUUCAACUGACUAAGUUUUAAAGAUCUGAUUGGCUUCAUUCAAUAAUUCAUGAAUUGGGCAGCAUCCCAUCUAGCCGUUAGAAAGGAGCUCCAAGGAGAUGAACAAAAUGAAACUGUUAUGCUGAGGAGGGGGUGAGACGAAGAAGUUCUUCACAAAGAGGGAUGAUUUCAGACAAGGUCGCCUUCCUUUGGAGGAUGUCAGAGUCCCUCACUAGGGCUGACCAGGUAAUUGCAGACGGACUGGUUUGAGAUUCCACUCCUGGGAGUGGCUGAAACAAUAACCAAGUUCGGUAUGAAGUCUAGCUUUGGUGACAGGGGCAUGGCACAGGUAGCUCUCUUUGGGGCCUGUCUCUUUUUCAUACUCCUCCUUCAGCUCAAGUUUCAACAGCUGAGCAAAUAUUCUGACUCUAAUGACAGACAAUACAUACAAUUUGUAAUAGUUUUAGUCUUCACUGUAGCAAUGCCUACCCAAGGAGUGCCAAGAAAAGAAAACAAAACUGGAAAGAUAUUUCAUAGUAGCGCCAACACAGAUCUUCAAGAAGAAAGAUUUGGAACGUUUCCUUUUAUUCAGGAUGGAAAUUUUGUCUAAACAGCUUGAGAACGAGAGAAGCCAUUUGUCAAAAGACUCAUUUUAAAACGUUUAAAUCUCAAGCUGUUAGUUGGGCAGCAGGCUCCUCACCAGCAAUUUUGUACUAACUUGUUUUUCUAGAAGAAAACAUGUUUAAUAUUUGUCAAAAUGAUUUUGAUGAUCUUAUUAUUCUAUGGUUGUCAGAGCAAAAUAAAAAUCAAGGCUAUACCAGGCCAGAUAAAUGUAACAUAAUAUUUUUUUUAAAAAAGAAGAUAUUAUAUUAAAUAAGAGUAAAAUCAAACUGCAACGGUAUAUCGGGCCUUGUUCUGAAGACUUAAGCUCGUACCACCCAUGAGAGCUGAGCAUUUGCCAUUCUAAGUUGCUCAGAUGUCUGAGCUCUUCUGCAGUGUAAGAGUGGAAACUUUAGAUGAAAGCGGAAGUAUUCAGAGGUGAAAUGGCAAAAUUUUUGAAGCUUAAUUUGAAACGGUGGCUUUGUAAUAUGUCAACUUAGCCAUGCUGAGCUAUGCUUCCCAGAAUUCCCUUUCCUGUAUGUUUCUAGUCAGGGUGGGCCACAAAAGACAUUCUUGGGAGGUUUUGAGGGCAGAAGAGAUGCAGCUGCCAUUCUGUGGGUCAUGCACACCUCACUGCAGAGCAGCUGGCUCACCCCUCGCCUUGUUGGCGGGAGCAAGCAGCCGGGCCUGCCACCAGUCCACCUCCCCUGGGAUCCCCUUCCCGCUUCUCUAGCUCCUGGGCCAGGUGUGUGUGUGGUGAGCUCUGCGAGGGAGGGCUCCAGCUCCUGCAGGACAUCUGCUUCGUCAAAGUUGGUGGUGGCGAGAAUGACAUAAAUCUACCAGUGGUAGAUUCUGUUGCUUUCUGAAGAUUAGCCAUCUGCCUGCCCAUCCUUGUGGGGUGCCAGUCUUGAUCUCCUACAUUUUAUAUCGAUUUUCCCUUCUGACUGCUGCCUUGUGGAUUUCAACCUCCAGCAUCAGAAACAAAGAUAACAGCCUUACAGAUACAUGGGAACAGAUGUCGCUAUGUAGCUAUGUAGACAUGGGGUGAUGGAUCUGCCUCUCUGAACUCUGGCACACACGACUACCUACAUAAAUAAAUAUAUGUGUGAUAUUGAAAGAAAGAAAUUCAAUACAACAAACUGUUAGUAUUCUUUAACCUAGAAAGCAGGUAUAUGAAUUUUCAUUUUACUAUUCUUUCAGCUGUUUUGUAUGUUUAAGCUUUUCCAUACAGACGAUUUGGGGAAAGAAAGAAUUGAUCUUAGUAAUGAGUGAAGUUCACAGAUUUUUUUUUACAGUGGCGUGUCCUAGCCUUUUUGUCUCUACCCGAAUAAAACUUGCCUUUGCUCUUA